rnacentral:rRNA from 1 species
GUGGGGAAUAUUGGACAAUGGGGGAAACCCUGAUCCAGCAAUGCCGCGUGAGUGAUGAAGGCCUUCGGGUUGUAAAGCUCUUUCGCCCACGACGAUGGUGACGGUAGUGGGAGAAGAAGCCCCGGCUAACUUCGUGCCAGCAGCCGCGGUAAUACGAAGGGGGCUAGCGUUGUUCGGAGUUACUGGGCGUAAAGGGCGCGUAGGCGGCCGGUCAAGUCGGGUGUGAAAGCCCGGGGCUCAACCCCGGAUGUGCAUUCGAGACUGAUUGGCUUGAGGACGGGAGAGGAUGGUGGAAUUCCCAGUGUAGAGGUGAAAUUCGUAGAUAUUGGGAAGAACACCGGUGGCGAAGGCGGCCAUCUGGACCGUUUCUGACGCUGAGGCGCGAAAGCGUGGGGAGCAAACAGGAUUAGAAACCCCUGUAGUCC